AUAUUGCGCAAUGGAGGCAACUCUGACGCAGCCAUGCCGCGUGCAGGAAGAAGGCGCUACGCGUUGUAAACUGCUUUUAAUCGGGAAGAAACCCCGGGACGUGUCCCGGGUUGACGGUACCGAUGGAAUAAGCACCGGCUAACUUCGUGCCAGCAGCCGCGGUAAUACGAAGGGUGCAAGCGUUAUCCGGAUUCAUUGGGUUUAAAGGGUGCGUAGGCGGAACAAUAAGUCAGCGGUGAAAGCCCGCAGCUUAACUGCGGAAUUGCCGUUGAUACUGUUGUUCUUGAGUACGUUUGACGUGGGCGGAAUGUGCCGUGUAGCGGUGAAAUGCUUAGAUAUGGCACAGAACACCGAUAGUGAAGACAGCUCACGAAGACGAAACUGACGCUGAGGCACGAAAGCGUGGGGAUCAAACAGG
rnacentral:rRNA from 1 species